rnacentral:rRNA from 1 species
CAGCAGCCGCGGGAAAACGUAGGUCCCGAGCGUUGUCCGGAUUUAUUGGGUUUAAAGGGAGCGUAGGCCGCAGGUUAAGUGUGUUGUGAAAAGCAGUCGCCCAACGUCUGCCUUGCAGCGCAAACUGUCCUGCUUGAGUGCGCGCAACGCAGGCGGAAUUCGUCGUGUAGCGGUGAAAUGCUUAGAUAUGACGAAGAACUCCGAUUGCGAAGGCAGCUUGCGGGAGCGCAACUGACGCUGAAGCUCGAAAGUGCGGGUAUCGAACAGGAUUAGAUACCCGAGUAGUCCCUGUCUCUUAUAC